rnacentral:rRNA from 1 species
UGGGGAAUUUUGGACAAUGGGGGAAACCCUGAUCCAGCCAUCCCGCGUGUGCGAUGAAGGCCUUCGGGUUGUAAAGCACUUUUGGCAGGAAAGAAACGUCGCGGGUUAAUACCCCGCGAAACUGACGGUACCUGCAGAAUAAGCACCGGCUAACUACGUGCCAGCAGCCGCGGUAAUACGUAGGGUGCAAGCGUUAAUCGGAAUUACUGGGCGUAAAGCGUGCGCAGGCGGUUCGGAAAGAAAGAUGUGAAAUCCCAGAGCUUAACUUUGGAACUGCAUUUUUAACUACCGGGCUAGAGUGUGUCAGAGGGAGGUGGAAUUCCGCGUGUAGCAGUGAAAUGCGUAGAUAUGCGGAGGAACACCGAUGGCGAAGGCAGCCUCCUGGGAUAACACUGACGCUCAUGCACGAAGGCGUGGGGAGCAAACAGGAUUAGAUACCCUGGUAGUCCACGCCCUAAACGAUGUCAACUAGCUGUUGGGGCCUUCGGGCCUUGGUAGCGCAGCUAACGCGUGAAGUUGACCGCCUGGGGAGUACGGUCGCAAGAUUAAAACUCAAAUGAAUUGACGGGGUCAUAGCUGUUUCCU